GGGAAUGUGGUGUAAUGGUAGCAUACGGGAUUUGGGAUCCUGUGGCGCAGUUCGAAUCUGACAUUUCCA
rnacentral:tRNA from 1 species